rnacentral:rRNA from 1 species
GAUGAACGCUGGCGGCGUGCCUAAUACAUGCAAGUCGAGCGAACAGAUAAGGAGCUUGCUCCUUUGACGUUAGCGGCGGACGGGUGGGUAACACGUGGGUAACCUACCUAUAAGACUGGAAUAACUCCGGGAAACCGGGGCUAAUGCCGGAUAACAUUUAGAACCGCAUGGUUCUAAAGUGAAAGAUGGUUUUGCUAUCACUUAUAGAUGGACCCGCGCCGUAUUAGCUAGUUGGUAAGGUAACGGCUUACCAAGGCAACGAUCCGUAGCCGACCUGAGAGGGUGAUCGGCCACACUGGAACUGAGACACGGUCCAGACUCCUACGGGAGGCAGCAGUAGGGAAUCUUCCGCAAUGGGCGAAAGCCUGACGGAGCAACGCCGCGUGAGUGAUGAAGGUCUUCGGAUCGUAAAACUCUGUUAUUAGGGAAGAACAAAUGUGUAAGUAACUGUGCACGUCUUGACGGUACCUAAUCAGAAAGCCACGGCUAACUACGUG